rnacentral:rRNA from 1 species
UGAAUACGAUUCUUCGGAUGAGGAUUCUUGCGACUGAGCGGCGGACGGGUGAGUAACGCGUGGGCAACCUGCCUUACACAGGGGGAUAACAGUUAGAAAUGACUGCUAAUACCGCAUAAGACCACAAAACCGCAUGGUUUGGUGGUAAAAACUCCGGUGGUGUAAGAUGGGCCCGCGUCUGAUUAGGUGGUUGGUGGGGUAACGGCCUACCAAGCCGACGAUCAGUAGCCGACCUGAGAGGGUGACCGGCCACAUUGGGACUGAGACACGUACCAGACUCCUACGGGAGGCAGCAGUGGGGAAUAUUGCACAAUGGGGGAAACCCUGAUGCAGCGACGCCGCGUGAGCGAUGAAGUAUUUCGGUAUGUAAAGCUCUAUCAGCAGGGAAGAAAAUGACGGUACCUGACUAAGAAGCCCCGGCUAACUACGUGCCAGCAGCCGCGGUAAUACGUAGGGGGCAAGCGUUAUCCGGAUUUACUGGGUGUAAAGGGAGCGUAGACGGCUUGGCAAGCCAGAUGUGAAAGGCUGGGGCUCAACCCCAGGACUGCAUUUGGAACUGUCAUGCUAGAGUGUCGGAGAGGCAGGCGGAAUUCCUAGUGUAGCGGUGAAAUGCGUAGAUAUUAGGAGGAACACCAGUGGCGAAGGCGGCCUGCUGGACGAUGACUGACGUUGAGGCUCGAAAGCGUGGGGAGCAAACAGGAUUAGAUACCCUGGUAGUCCACGCCGUANACGAUGACUACUAGGUGUCGGGUGGCAAANCCAUUCGGUGCCGCAGCCAACGCAAUAAGUAGUCCACCUGGGGAGUACGUUCGCAAGAAUGAA